CACCUCUCUCAUUCCUCUCAACCUUUUUGUUUCAUCUCUUUAACUCUAACAUUUUCUCUGUCAUCCCUACUCUAGCCCUAAUUGAAAAAAAUCAAAAACACUUCUCUUAUUUUAAUAAUUUUCAUUCUCAAAAUUAAAAAAAAAAAAAAAACCCCAAACCCUUACUCACCUCCUUCAUUCCUCUCAAUCCUUUCUCCUUCAUCUCUCUCACUCAACACAUUUCCUCUGUCA
rnacentral:lncRNA from 1 species